GGGGCAUCUAUGUAAUAUUAAAGGUUAAUUUUAUACAGAUUCCUAUAAAUAUAGUGAAUAACAAAUAUAUCCCUACAAAAUUCAAUUUUCAUAUGUUAUCUGCAAAAGUCCUGAUAUUUUUAAAUAUGUUCCUAUGCUUUGUUAUCGUUAGAGAACUAUUAGAGAAUUGUUUAUAUUUUCAAUUUUGCCAUCACAAAUAUGUUCCUCCAAAAGGCAUAACAGUAUUAUAUAAGAGGGAUAAAAAUAUCAAAAAUUAAUCAGGAUUAAAUAUUUAAUCAAUGAUUAACUAAAUUUUCCUAACGGAUUCUAACGACAGAAACAUAUUUAAAAAUAUUAGAACUUUUAUAGAAACAAUAUAUGAAAGUUGAACUUUGUAAAGAUAUAUUUAUCAUUCACUGUGUUUACAGGUAUCUGUAUGAAAUUAACCCUUAUAUUACAGGCGCACAAAACACAAUCUUUUUGUAAUCUGUAAGUUAGUUUAUACAAAAUUAUGAGUGUGAAAAAAUUAAAAAAAGAUAAAAAAAAAUAUAAAAAAAGGUGUAACAAAAUGGG
rnacentral:lncRNA from 1 species